rnacentral:tRNA from 1 species
GCUAUUUUGGCAGAAAAGUGUGAUGGUUUUAGAAGUCAUGAAUAUAUGUGUAUUUAUGUACAUAUAAAUAGUA